AGGUUUCCAGCAUGUAACACUGCCUGGUCCUACCCUGGUUGCAUCAUUUCUGGUGUAGGGAAGGGGAAGGAGACUUCACUAACCACCAUUCCAGAAGAAAGUUGUCAGCAUUCCCAAAAUGUGUUUAUGAGCAUUAUUAGUAUUAACUUCAAUGAAUCACUAACCAGAACUGUGUGAGCAAAAGGGUGAGGCUUCAAGAGAUCCUGGCAGUCAGAUGAAUCAGAAGUUGGCUUCACAUGGGCUUUCUGCUUCCACAGACAUGAAAGAUACAGCAGUGCAAUUGUUCCUCCACAGUCCUUUGGACUAGUUUGAUUCUGUAUGCUGAAAACCCCUAAAUCAGGACUGAGUUCUGGCAGAUGCCCAAACAGAGGCAAACAGUACGGAAAAGUAAUACUCUGAAACUGCUUUAAAAUUAAUUCAAAGAUGAAUGACUAAGGACCUGAGCCAUGGGACUUAUGGCACAUAGUACAUUAAACAAGCAAGACCUGGGCCUGAAACCUGGAUAAUAUUUUAAAGUAUCCUGCUCCUGGAUCCUCAUGUGUCUGUUUUUUUUAUGUUCCUAACAGCCAAGUGGAUUUGUGGAUUUCUUUCAAAUGCUGACUGCUCACGACAGACUGAGUUGUAAAAGGACUUGCUGUAAAUCACAUCAGACCCUCUUGCCAUCAUCAGCUAUUUAAAUCUGAGGUACCUCUGGGAAAACUUUGUUUAAAUAGCCUGUAGCUUAUGGAAAACUGAGCUUUGCCAGUAGAAUGGGAGCCUGUCAUUUGAAGCAAAACAAGAGAAAAAAAAAAGAGAGAAAAAAAGAAAAAAGCCCAGCAGUGCUGAACAUUAUCUCCUCCUGUACUGAGACCAGACACAUCAAAGUUGACAUGCCUCCCCUCAAUGAUCGCCAUUUCCCAUACAUACUGUAUGAUAUGUCCAGCCAGAGGUGCACAGAGAACUGUAUGAGGAAGAUAUCUUUGGGCCAUAACCCUGGCAGGCCACUGCCCUCCAUGAUGAAAUCCUGUCUCGCAGACAGGACUAGAGCAGGGUCUCCUCAGGCAAGAUGGGUCUCCUCAGGCCACUUUGGGGACAGUGGUGAUAAAUUAGCCAUGAGGGAGACCUGGGAAGCUCCUGGGAAUCAGCACCAACGACUAGAGACCUCCUGAGGCGGGUGGCUGUUCACAUGCAGCUGCGGAGCUAGAAGUGAGGAGAAAAUGGAGACCUUCUCUCGGAAUGAAUCGGAAGGAUGUCCUGCUGCAGGAAUGGCUGGCCUGGCUGCAGCUCUGCACCCAUGCCACAAUGGGAAGCACCAGCAGUGGGAGGCACUGCCACUUGUAAUUCCCAAGCCAGCACAUCCAGCUCACUCUGAGCCCUGAGGAACCCUGUCACAUCCCUCUCAGGGACAAGCACAUGACUGAAAGCAAGGCGGGACUGCUCAGAUGGAAGUUUCCUUGUGUUCCUUCUCUAAGAAUGGAGACCAGUAUACAUCCUACAGGUUACUAAGCAGCCAUUGGAUUUAUACCACAGUGGGGACUGGAAUUUGUCCUCAGUGACCUAAGGGAGAGCAAAAAGCCCCAUUUCGUAACUGCAUCAAGCGAUCUUUUUCCUAUUUUUUUCCCAUUUUUUUGGCAGAUAAUAUGACAGAGUAUUUUCAUUCAAAAAGUUCAAAAUGUUUGUGCUCCUAUGGCAGGAAGGGUUUGAACAGCUCUAAUUACAAGAAGAAUCAUUCCAAAGCUUAUGGCUAGAGUGCAGGGAAAGGUUAUUGAAAACAAAUCCAUUUCUCAAACUGGAAUUUUGCAUAUUUAUAAUUGUGGAUUAACUCAAGAUACCGUAAUUGAAAUUAAUAUUGAAAAAUCAAUUGAAGAGAGUACAUAGAGCUCUACUGCUUUCAAACACUGCAGUUGAAAUAAAGAUCCACAU